CUUCUGCUUCUGUUGGAAGUGGUCCUGUUUCUCUUCGCUGUCCCACUUUGCCUUUUCCUCCCAAGGUCUGGAGGAAGUCUGCUUGAGCUGAGACAGCAGGAAUCUUUUGGCAAUGGAGAGAUGCCCCAAGAAAAGCCAUAAUAGCACAAGCCGAACAAUGGAAUGUACUGCAACAUUCCCUGGCCAAAAGGAGAUGAGCAAAAACCUUAUUCUGGCAGGAAAAUGCUCAAGGAUGUGAUAAGUAACAGUGAUAGAAGAACAGGUAUUGCCAUACAAGGACUACCAAAUUGCUUAUCUAAUACCAUGACAUGUCAUGCAGUGGUUUCUCCACCCAAGGGGAAUUCUCCUAGAAAGUUGAAGCUUGUCUGGAAACUAUUUCUCGCUGUUGGAACAGUUUAAAGAAGCUGCCUCCCAUCAUGUCCUAAAAACACAACCUUUCUUCUGUUGAGUGUUCCACUGGCUUGCUGAGCAUUACAGAAGAGCUACAGAGGAAUGCCUCAGAGAACCUUGUGUGCAUGAUGCAGGAAUGACUGUGAUGGAUACUGUAUUUGGAAAAGAGCUGCUUUCAAGGUACUAAAGAUGGUCCAGGAUGUGAUUACAUGCCAACUUUAAUGCAUAUUACUGAACUCCACUGUUGUGAAGUCUGGUGAAGUCAAGGGAUGAGAACAGUUAUGUUACUUAUGAAGAAGAUCCUUCCAAAAAAGUCUUCACCAACAUUGCUAGAAAUACCCUUCAUUCUGAUCACAUUUAGGUAACUUAAUGUUUUUGUAUCUCGUACUUUUUGUUUUGUGGUUGUAUUAUAGUUGUGCAACAAAAUUGAAAAGAAGUACGUAACAUGUUUGGGGGAAAUUUCACAUCAUUAAGUUGAAGUAUAUCAUUUCCUUUGAAAAAUUAACAUGGCAAGAGAUUUAAAUUUUGUGUUAAUUUUAAUAGAUACAAAUUACUGUAAUCACAUCGAUAUAUAAAUUACUGUAAUCAUGUCCGAUUAAAUCUUUCCGUGAUUAUAAUGCCACCGUUUUAGUGUCGUGUUUCUAACAAGAUAUUAAUUUCUUGUUGCAAGUAGUUUUUGAAUGGGUAUAACCAUGUAUCUUAAAACUCAUUGCUCUUGGGGAAGGCAACUAUCAGUGGCAAAAAGAAAAUGUGCACGAAGGAAAGAGAAGUUACUGUAGGUGGAUGUGCAAAUAGAAUAACUGUGAGUCCAUACUGACCUUACUACUGGAGUGCCAGGCCAUCAUUACUGUUUAAAAACAGUUGUGGUGGUUGCAUGGGGAAACUAGA